UACGUAGGGUCCGAGCGUUGUCCGGAAUUAUUGGGCGUAAAGAGCUCGUAGGCGGUCUGUCGCGUCUGCUGUGAAAACUCGGGGCUUAACCCCGGGCCUGCAAGUGGGUACGGGCAGGACUAGAGUGCGGGUAGGGGGAGAACUGGAAUUCCUGGUGUAGCGGUGAAAAUGCGCAGAUAUCAGGAGGAACACCGGUGGCGAAGGCGGGUCUCUGGGCCGUAACUGACGCUGAGGAGCGAAAGCAUGGGGAGCGAACAGG
rnacentral:rRNA from 1 species